UACGGAGGGUGCGAGCGUUGUCCGGAAUCAUUGGGCGUAAAGGGCGCGUAGGUGGCCCCUCAAGCGUGCGGUGAAAGUCAGGGGCUCAACCCCUGAUCGGCCGUGCGAACUGGGGAGCUUGAGCACUGUAGAGGCAGGCGGAAUUCCGGGUGUAGCGGUGGAAUGCGUAGAGAUCCGGAAGAACACCGGUGGCGAAGGCGGCCUGCUGGGCAGUUGCUGACACUGAGGCGCGACAGCGUGGGGAGCAAACAGGG
rnacentral:rRNA from 1 species